rnacentral:lncRNA from 1 species
UCCGGAAAUGAUUUUUUGAACGUUGCCAAGUAAUCGAUUGUAGAUUUAUGACAAUCGAUUGUCUUACGUAAAAUCUGAAAAUGAUUUUUUGAGCGUUGCCAGCAAUCGAUUAUUGAUCUUAGUUAAUCGAUUGUUAAGCGUAAAAUCUGGAUUGAUUUUUGGAAGAACUGGCAAACAAUCGAUUGUGGUACUUUGACAAUCGAUUGUCACUNNN